rnacentral:lncRNA from 1 species
CCCGCCGCAGCCGUCAAACUAUACUAGAUGGCCACUGCUCUAGCGUCUGGGAUUGAUGAAUUCUGGCCUCCCGAUAUGUCAAAAUCAUCGGCUGUUGAAGAACGAUCGUUGACUGUUCAAAGGAUUUCGGAAGACAAUCUCGUUUCAGGUACUCCAAGUGCCCUACAACCCUGAUGAUGCUUAUACGGUGUUGUUGUGGUGGCUAGCUACAGUGGGUCUUCUACAAUUGUGCAGUUCUGGGAUGAGUCAUGGUGUGCUCAUAAUUCGUAUUUUUUGAAACUCUCAAUCAACUUCAUCCAACCCGAAACCGGACAAAGCAUCAAGACAGAUGGAUAAGAAAUUUGUGAAGAAUCAGGAUUCCAAGAAAGCACCUGUGGGUCCUAAAGGCCAGCCAUCAAAAGGGAACAACGGAAAAGGGGAAAACCCUAUGCGAAUCCCACAAAUCACAGAGCCAUGUUCUGGUUCUAGACUCCCAACUAUAUCGAUCUGCAGGAACGCU